GUUUCUUUAACAAAUAUCAUGAUGAUGAUAAUAAAGGUGUAGAUAAUAAUGGUGUUACUGUAAAUUCAAGCAUUCACCCUCAGCUUAACCUUGACACUAGCACUGAAUUUCACACUUAUCUUUCACUCUCACUGACUUCUCAAAACUUCACUCUAUGCCUUUUACAGGGGACCUUGAUUUUUAGGAGAAGCCAUUAGAUGAUAUCUUUCUAAAUCUUCUACCACUUAAAUUACAGAAUUCAUUUCCUACUUAAAUUACAGAAUUCAUUUAUAUCAAAAUCAAAUAUCUUAGUUUAUAGUGGGGUUGCAGCCCUUAUAAUUUUUUUUUUUUUACAAAGAGAACCCUUUGGUUAUUUCUUUCUAAUUUCACUCUUGUUCUUUAACAGCCAAACAUGCAAGAGUAACAAGAAAAAUUUCCCUUAACCACAUGUGGUUUCCAGUUUCUGCCCAACUUCUCCCACAUUUUUAAGUCAAACUUCCUGAAAGUUGUUUAUACUUGCUUUUUCUACUUUCUUACUUUCACUCCAUGUUCUUUAAAAUUUGUCUUCUGCUUUUACACUGUUUCACAAAAAUAUUCUUACCAUGUCAACACUGGCUUUCCUAUGUCUAAAGACAAUGAGAACUUUCUAGGUUUCACUAUAACCCUGAGCAGUGUUGAUCAUUAUGGACUUAUCCUUUCUUCUUGAAAUAUUCUCUAAUCUUAGCAUCUAUGGCACAAUGCUCUCUAGAACUUUUAUCUACUUUCCCAGCUGUUCCUCCUCAGUCUUUACGGCAGGAUCUCCUUCCCCUUCUGUCCUCUCACAUACUCAUGUUCC
rnacentral:lncRNA from 1 species